UAAAGGGUCCGUAGGCGGUUUAAUAAGUCAGUGGUGAAAGCCCAUCGCUCAACGGUGGAACGGCCAUUGAUACUGUUAAACUUGAAUUAUUAGGAAGUAACUAGAAUAUGUAGUGUAGCGGUGAAAUGCUUAGAGAUUACAUGGAAUACCAAUUGCGAAGGCAGGUUACUACUAAUGGAUUGACGCUGAUGGACGAAAGCGUGGGUAGCGAACAGGAUUAGUACCCUGGU
rnacentral:rRNA from 1 species